rnacentral:rRNA from 1 species
GGCAGCAGCCGCGGUAACACCGGCGGCCCGGAGUGGUGAUCGUGAUUAUUGGGUCUAAAGGGUCCGUAGCCGGUUUGGUCAGUCCUCCGGGAAAUCUGAUAGCUCAACUAUUAGGCUUUCGGGGGAUACUGCCAGACUUGGAACCGGGAGAGGUAAGAGGUACUACAGGGGUAGGAGUGAAAUCUUGUAAUCCCUGUGGGACCACCUGUGGCGAAGGCGUCUUACCAGAACGGGUUCGACGGUGAGGGACGAAAGCUGGGGGCACGAACCGGAUUAGAUACCCGGGUAGUCCCAGCCGUAAACGAUGCUCGCUAGGUGUCAGGCAUGGCGCGACCGUGUCUGGUGCCGCAGGGAAGCCGUGAAGCGAGCCACCUGGGAAGUACGGCCGCAAGGCUGAAACUUAAAGGAAUUGGCGGGGGAGCACAACAACGGGUGGAGCCUGCGGUUUAAUUGGACUCAACGCCGGACAACUCACCGGGGGCGACAGCAAUAUGUAGGCCAAGCUGAAGACUUUGCCUGAAUCGCUGAGAGAAGUGGUGCAUGG